AGUGAACGCUGGCGGUAAGCCUAACACAUGCAAGUCGAACGGCAGCACAGUAAGAGCUUGCUCUUACGGGUGGCGAGUGGCGGACGGGUGAGGAAUACAUCGGAAUCUACUUUUUCGUGGGGGAUAACGUAGGGAAACUUACGCUAAUACCGCAUACGACCUACGGGUGAAAGCAGGGGAUCUUCGGACCUUGCGCGAUUGAAUGAGCCGAUGUCGGAUUAGCUAGUUGGCGGGGUAAAGGCCCACCAAGGCGACGAUCCGUAGCUGGUCUGAGAGGAUGAUCAGCCACACUGGAACUGAGACACGGUCCAGACGCCUACGAGAGGCAGCAGUGUGGAAUAUUGGACAAUGGGCGCAAGCCUGAUCCAGCCAUACCGCGUGGGUGAAGAAGGCCUUCGGGUUGUAAAGCCCUUUUGUUGGGAAAGAAAAGCAGCAGGUUAAUACCCCGCUGUUCUGACGGUACCCAAAGAAUAAGCACCGGCUAACUUCGUG
rnacentral:rRNA from 1 species